rnacentral:tRNA from 1 species
GGAGCUGUGGCACAGCAGUAGAGCAUCUUCUUGGAAUGCAGAAGGUCUAGGUUCAACUCCCAACACCUCCA